ACACGUAGGGGGCGAGCGUUGUUCGGAAUUACUGGGCGUAAAGGGCAUGUAGGCGGUCUUGUAAGCUUGGCGUGAAAUACCACGGCUCAACCGUGGGAAUGCGUUGAGAACUGCGAGGCUUGAGUGACGGAGAGGGAGCUAGAAUUCCUGGUGUAGGGGUGGAAUCUGUAGAGAUCAGGAAGAAUACCAAUGGCGAAGGCAAGCUCCUGGCCGAUGACUGACGCUGAGGUGCGAAAGUGUGGGGAUC
rnacentral:rRNA from 1 species